CUCUAGGCCUGGGUACCGGAGGGAGGGAGGCGGGCAGAGGAGGGGAGAUGGGCACCCCCAGUCUUUCCAUCCUCCUCAUUCGUCUAGGGGCACCCGAAUCCCCUAUUCCUUAUUUCCCCUAUCACUCAGGCACUGGCAGGGUCCUUUGCCCACUCCUGUUGGCCGCUGCGGCUCCAAAGCGAGAGUGGUUAACAGGAUGGAUUCUGGAGCUAGACGGCCUGAUUUUGAAUCUCAGUCAUGCCUUAUAUGUGCCUGAGACAGGUUUGACCAGGCAACUGAAAAGACAUCCCUAAGAGAAGACAAAGCAAAGGUAUGAAAGGAACACACGUCCCUGACUGACUAGGAGGAACAGAGCUGCCUGCUAUCCGGAACAACUUCCUCCCAGACUAAGUGAGAAAUAAACUUCUG
rnacentral:lncRNA from 1 species